UACUGCAGGUCCCUGUUCAGGCGCCAUAUGCUGGACUAGCUUUGCGGGCAGGAGACAGAUGACCAGGGACUCACGGCUGAGCUGGGA
rnacentral:miRNA from 1 species